AGUGAACGCUGGCGGCAGGCCUAACACAUGCAAGUCGAACGGCAGCACAGUAAGAGCUUGCUCUUACGGGCGUCGAGUGGCGGACGGGUGAGGUAUACAUCGGAAUCUACUUUUUCGUGGGGGAUAAUGUAGGGUAACUUCCGCUAAUACCGCAUUCGACCUCCGGGUGAAAGCAGGGGUUCUUUGGACCUUGUGCGAUUGAAUGAGCCAAUGUCGGAGUCGCUUGGUGGCGGGGUAAAGGCCCACCAAGGCGACGAUCCGUAGCUGGUCUGAGAGGAUGAACAGCCAGACUGGAACAGAGGCACGGUCCAGACUCCGACAGUGGGCAGCAGUGCAGAAUAUUGGGCAAUGGACGCGAGGCGGAUCCUGCCAUAUCGCGGAAGUGAAGAAGGCCUUCGGCUUGGAGAGCGCUUAUGGUAGGAGAGAAAAGCAGCAGGUUAAUACCCCGCGGUACUGACAGUACCCAGAGAAUAAGCACCGGCUAACUUCGUG
rnacentral:rRNA from 1 species